GCGCGAGUGGCGGAAUUGGCAGACGCGCACGGUUGAGGGCCGUGUGCCUUCACAGGCGUGGGAGUUCAAGUCUCCCCUCGCGCACCA
rnacentral:tRNA from 1 species